GGGGCUGUGGCUCAGUUAGGAGAGUGCCUGCUUUGUAUACUGAAGGCCUCAGGUUCAAUUCCUGAUACCCCCA
rnacentral:tRNA from 1 species